UACGUAGGGCGCAAGCGUUGUCCGGAAUUAUUGGGCGUAAAGGACUCGUAGAGCGGUUUGUCGCGUCUGCUGUGAAAACUCGGGGCUUAACCCCGAGCCUGCAGUGGAUACGGGCAGACUAGAGGUAGGUAGGGGAGAAUGGAAUUCCCGGUGUAGCGGUGAAAUGCGCAGAUAUCGGGAGGAACACCGGUGGCGAAGGCGGUUCUCUGGGCCUUACCUGACGCUGAGGAGCGAAAGCGUGGGGAGCGAACAGG
rnacentral:rRNA from 1 species